rnacentral:rRNA from 1 species
GAUGAACGCUGGCGGCGUGCCUAAUACAUGCAAGUCGAGCGAACGGACGAGAAGCUUGCUUCUCUGAUGUUAGCGGCGGACGGGUGAGUAACACGUGGAUAACCUACCUAUAGGACUGGGAUAACUUCGGGAAACCGGAGCUAAUACCGGAUGAUAUUUUGAACCGCAUGGUUCAAUAGUGAAAGACGGUCUUGCUGUCACUUAUAGAUGGAUCCGCGCUGCAUUAGCUAGUUGGUAAGGUAACGGCUUACCAAGGCAACGAUGCAUAGCCGACCUGAGAGGGUGAUCGGCCACACUGGAACUGAGACACGGUCCAGACUCCUACGGGAGGCAGCAGUAGGGAAUCUUCCGCAAUGGGCGAAAGCCUGACGGAGCAACGCCGCGUGAGUGAUGAAGGUCUUCGGAUCGUAAAACUCUGUUAUUAGGGAAGAACAUAUGUGUAAGUAACUGUGCACAUCUUGACGGUACCUAAUCAGAAAGCCACGGCUAACUACGUG